AGUGUUCAUGGCGGAUCUUGAUUUAAUGUGGUACAAUUAAGGCACACGGUGAAUGCUAA
rnacentral:pre_miRNA from 1 species